rnacentral:rRNA from 1 species
CUACGGGCUGCACCAGGCGCGAAACCUUUACAAUGCACGAAAGUGUGAUAAGGGAAUCCCAAGUGCUCAUGUAUUGCAUGAGCUUUUGCCAAGAGUAAAUAUCUUGGCGAAUAAGUGGUGGGAAAGACUGGUGCCAGCAGCCGCGGUAACACCAGCGCCACAAGUGGCAAUCACAAUUAUUGGGCCUAAAGCGUCCGCAGCCGGAUUUGUUAAUCUUUUGUGAAAUCAUGGGGCUUAACUUCAUGUCGUGCAGGAGACACUGCAAAUCUUGGAACCGGGAGGAGUCAGAAGUAUUCUGGGGGGAGCGGUAAAAUGUUAUAAUCCCCGGAGGACUACCUGUGGCGAAGGCGUCUGACUAGAACGGAUUCGACGGUGAGGGACGAAGGCUGGGGGAGCAAACCGGAUUAGAUACCCCGGUAGUC